UACGAAGGGGGCUAGCGUUGCUCGGAAUCAUUGGGCGUAAAGAGCGCGUAGGCGGCCCUGUAAGUCCGCUGUGAAAGUCAAGGGCUCAACCCUUGAAUGCCGGUGGAUACUGCAGGGCUAGAGUCCGGAAGAGGCGAGUGGAAUUCCGGGUGUAGCGGUGGAAUGCGUAGAGAUCCGGAAGAACACCGGUGGCGAAGGCGGCCUGCUGGGGUCUUGGCUGACGCUGAAGCGCGACAGCGUGGGGAGCAAACAGG
rnacentral:rRNA from 1 species